rnacentral:lncRNA from 1 species
GAGCCAGAAGAGCACGGAGCAGCAACUCGCAGCCCAAUUGGUGACGCUGCAGAAUGAACUGGAGCUGGCGGAGACCAAAUGCGCCUUGCAGGAGGAGAAGCUGCAGCAGGACGCGCUGCAGACAGCGGAGGCCUGGGCCAUAUUCCAGGAGCAGACCGUAGUCCUGCAGGUGCGGCCCCACUCAGACGCCAAGGAGGUGCAGGUGAAGGUGAUGGAGGCUGCGGAGGAGCUGGACGCCUGGCAGAGUGGCCGGGAACUGUGUGACGGGCAGCUUCGCGGAGUGCAGUACAGCACCGAGUCGCUCAUGGAGGAGAUGGCCAGGGCGGACCGAGAGACGCGGCUGUUCGGCGGCCC